GACGAACGCUGGCGGCGUGCUUAACACAUGCAAGUCGAACGGAAAGGCCCUGCUUUUGUGGGGUGCUCGAGUGGCGAACGGGUGAGUAACACGUGAGUACCUGCCCUUUACUUUGGGAUAACGUUAGGAAACUGGGGCUAAUACCGGAUAGGGGCUCCUGCUGCAUGGUGGGGGGUGGAAAGUUUCGGCGGUUGGGGAUGGACUCGCGGCUUAUCAGCUUGUUGGUGGGGGAGUGGCUUACCAAGGCUUUGACGGGGAGCCGGCCUGAGAGGGUGACCGGCCACAUUGGGACUGAGAUACGGCCCAGACUCCUACGGGAGGCAGCAGUGGGGAAUAUUGCACAAUGGGCGGAAGCCUGAUGCAGCAACGCCGCGUGCGGGAUGACGGCCUUCGGGUUGUAAACCGCUUUCGCCUGUGACGAAGCGUGAGUGACGGUAAUGGGUAAAGAAGCACCGGCUAACUACGUG
rnacentral:rRNA from 1 species